rnacentral:lncRNA from 1 species
AAAAGAUGAGUUCAUUCAUUCAUUGAAAGAAGAAAGUUGAUAAUGUGAAACUAACCCAAACAACAAGUAAAUUAAAUUGUCAAAAUGUAAAUUGUUUCACUUUCUAAACAUAUUACAAGUAAAAUCUCAAUCCUAAUUUGUCUUACUCCCUCCACUUGAUCUUAUAUUCUUGUUUGGCGAUGGAGAACCACUAGCAACAUCCGGUGCCUGGAAUAAGUUAAAAUAUGUUUAAAGUUAAUUGACAAUAUCCAAAAUAGUCCAAAACAAUCAUUGUUAUAAUGCGUAUGAACUGAUAUCAAAUUGACAAAUUGAAUCAUUGGGAUAAUAAAAUAAAACUAGGUUAAUAAAACUAAAAUAAGAGAAAAAAUAUCUUAAUAUUUUAUAGAAAAAAAUAGAUCAAUAUAUAGUUUUUGAAUUAACAAACAAUGUUAGUAUAUCUUUGAAUAAUUUUAAAUUCUUAACUUUUUUUUUAUUUGGAUGCAAGCUUGACAAACUCAUUUAUAUGUUAAAUUGAGGAUACAUACGUUAUGUAAAUUUAAAUAUAAUAAAAUACAAACCAACACAAGUAAUUAAUAAUGUUUCUUUUGAUAUAAGAAUUAUAAGUUUUGAGAUUUCAACCCCAAUCAUAAAGUAUUACAUGAGCAACUAAAUUCAAAGAAUAGUAAUACCACUUACCCAUAUGAUAGUUGUCAUCCUAGUAAAUUCAUCCAGAGAACCAACUCUUUGUACCAGGAUUUAAGCCAUG